UAAAAAUAAAGGGAACAGGAAGAAGAAAACCUUCCGCCGAUUACACCCAACUGCCUUCGCCGGCGACCACCAACACCAAAGCAGUUUCGGCUCCAUCACCAACGCUACCUUCUCCGCCUCGUUGCUUCCUGGAAGUGUGCUCAGUGUAGUAGCUUGUAACAGCUGCUGUUGCAUUUUUCAGUUUCUUAAAAUUUUACGCAUAUAUUAAUUAGGCACCACAGAUAUGGCAACUGCAAAUUUUCUGUUCGGUAUCGCAAAGAAAUAUUUCACCGUUGGGCUGAUAAGCCUCACAGAAUUUGACCGAUAUGUAAGCCCUACCGCCAUUCGCGGCUCCUCAAUGUCUCCUACUCUUAACCCCCAUGACGAAAAUUCUGCUGCAAUUUGAUGGGUUAUUUCAUAUUUUACUGAUCGUUUUUACUUUGUGGUAAAGAUUUUUACUGGAUUGUUACUGGUGCCUGCAGAUGACUAUGCAUUGGUUGAGAAAUACAAGUUUUCGCACGGUGACGUGGUGGUUUUCCGGUAAUUAAAUCUCUUGCUUGGCAUUAGUAUUGUUGGUUCCUUUUUUAAAUCCAGAUUAUUUGGAUUUUAUGCUUCUUCAGUUUUAAGCACAAACCCAUAUUUACUGGUUUUUUUUGUCAGAAUUAUGGGACAUGAAUGUUCUUCUUUAUGACUUGCUGAUUGAAUCUAACUACGGAAAUUUGUUUAAGCCCGUCUAGACCUUUAAACACAGGCAAUAAUGAAGUUCACUUCAAGGUUAAUUUUAGAUUGAGUUCAAACUUAGUAUUUGACAAUUUUUUUUAGGCCAUGCUCUCAUCAUCAUUCUCCACUUAAAUAACCUUUCUCUAGCUAUGAAUUGGAGAUGCUGAAAUUCAAUUGAUGAUAACCAACCAAACAAAAUUCAUCUUUUGUAUUGUUGUUUGCUGGAUCGAUAGCCACAUAACCAAAUGCUAUGUCAAACAAAUUACUGGUAUCCUUUAAUCAUUGAUCAAGAUGAGUACCCUGAUCUGUUAUUUUUUCCUAUGUACAUAAACAGGAAUGCAAUCUCCCUGCUUAACUGGUUUUUGGCUGAGCCUUGAUUGUAUUCCUUUCAGUAAACUAAUGAAUUUCACUGCCUUACUUAAGAGAAAAAAAAAUAUGUUUGAUAAAUUAAAUGCUAUUAUCUAACGAUACAGUUGGUAGACAACAGCUUAGCAUAAUGAAGAAAAUUUGCUGGUAGCAAUGAACAUUGAGGUCUAUAGAUGCUUUGUAUUCAAAUAUGUUGGCAAGUGAGAUGUUGACUAAUAUGUUUCUCAAAGAAAGAUCCUUAAAGCUGGGUUUUAGAUCAGGUAACUUGGUAAAAGGAGUGAGUGGGGAAACAUGGCUAACUUUAUGUAUUUUUAUUGAUGGCAUCAAAUUGUAUUUUUCUCUUUCAACCAUCUUCUGAGACGAGAAGCUUGAGUUCUGGACCAAUACAAUAGCUGUUCAUAUCUAUGCACAUGAAAUUUUUCCUGUUAGCUGUGUGCAUCUUCCAUUCCGUCUAGUAGGUCAUUUAUAGAAAUGCCUUUGAUGAAGUUGUGGAUUGUAAAAGAUUGAUGCGGCUGAAUAUUUUCUCUUGAGAAUAAUUAACAUUCUAUGUGCUGCAUAAUAUGAUUUAUAAUUUUUUUGCAACUUAACUUGGUAACAUUUAUCUCAUGGGAUAUGCUUUGAGCACUGUACUUUGAGGUUUUCUAUUCUGUGCUCAAGAGGCAUAGAUUAGGACCGAUAGCAAUGUCGGCCUUCACUAUUUUCCUGAAAACUUAUAAAAUUUUAACUACUGCAUGAAGUAUAGCUAGUUCUUCUUAAAAUCAUGAAACUAAUUCUUCACGAUUUAUUUGAGGAGGGAAGCACUCUUGCAAUUAAAAUCUAAUGACACUUUCUCUGAAUGUUUUCUUUCUAUUCAUUAUUCACUAAUGCCUUUUUUCUUUUAAAAAAAAAAAAUAUAUAUUUGGGACUCAUCAUACUUGAAUUACUUGUUACUUUGUUGAACCAUGAUUAAAGUUAUUUUGAAAAAAGCUUCUUGAUUGCUACCAUAAUGGAAGUGAUUCAUAAAUCGUUUGGGUGUUAUGUUGAGUCCUCACAGAUGGAGAAACUGGGGUUCUAUAAUCUUUCUAUAGGCUUUCAAUUACGUUACUCAAUUUUCUAGCACACUAUAAUCACCAUUCCUGCACGCCAUUUUCCACUUAAAUACUAGCUCAAAGAUAUAAAGGGUAUAGUCAAUACCCCCCAACCAGAAGGGUAGUCCAUCUGUGAAAGGUUUUCAUCUAUCCAGUGUUCCAUCCAUUUUAGGUUCUACAUUACAGGCAGAUGCAAGAGUUGGAAGCCAAUCAUUGAUUCCCAAAUGUGGGUGAAUGGAGUUGACUGUGAAUUCAGAAUAUUUUUGUUAUUUUGCAUUUGUUGUGAUAGUGAUGUAUCUCUAUAAUUCGGAUUAGGCUACAGAACUGUAGAUCGCAUUUUCACAUCAUAAAAUAUAUUCCACUAAAAACUGAACAAGCUUUUACAUUGGACUUGGUUGUCAGAGGUGGAAAUAUGGUAGCCAUGAGAGUUGAACUUUAGGGGGUUGGUGUGUUACUAACAUUGAAAGCUGGAAUUUUUGGAGACAGUGCUGCUUCAACAGCUAUUGGCCACUUGGAGGUGGUACUGUGACCUGCUCAAUUCGGAGGGGGAGAGAGAGAGAGAGAGAUUGAUACGUGUGGAUAAAAAUGAUACUUGAAAAUAAUUUUCUGUGUCAGUAUGUAUAUGCCCCUAGGCCCUAGAAGUAAAAUUAGAUUGCAAUCCUUGCUAUACAUAUUCACAAAGAAAAUAGGUAGAUUAAUAAAUUAAUUCCAAAACAUGCACUAUAUGUUACUUUUGUGAUAUGUUGGUACAAAAUUGUAAACAACAUUUUUAGGUCUAAAAUAUAAUCGCAUCCACCAUCCUUUGCAGUUCCCCAAGUAAUCACAAACAGAAAAAUGUAAAGAGAAUCACUGCUUUGCCUGUUGACUGGAUAAAUAUCUCUUCAUAUGAUGCCAUGAUGAUACCUGAAGGGCAUCGUUGGGUUGAGGGAGACAAUCCAGCUUGUAGCAUGGACUUAAGAUCCUUUGGCUCGGCAUUUUACAAAUUGCUUCAUAUUUUUAUUUUUCAUCCAUGAAGUUAAGAACUUCCAUGGAUUACACUGAUGGUUUUGUGUGUCAUUUUGCUAGACAUUGGUCAGUAAUCGUGUUGGCAAAGUAUUUCGUACGUGCCUGGGACAUAACUUGUGUAGUCUUCAUCAAAUUAUGUUUUAAUCAACCAAAUUCAAGGGUCACUAUUUAUUGUCAAGUAAAGGAUAAAAUAGAUUUGUUAAAUUUAAUUUAUUUUAUUAUAUUCUAUGUUCUUGUUAACUAUACCGGCAAGAAUACAUUCUGUGGCCAGCUAAAAUUGGUACAAAACAAAUGGGUUAUGUUACAAACUGAUAAUUGCGGUGAAAAAAAAAAGUAAUUUAGUAAAUACGAGGCAUUGAAUGAUCAAAUGGAUUCUCCUGAUAGAGUUAGUCACUUUUGUUGCCGGUAGAUUAUCAGUUUAGGAUUUUCCACCAUUCACUGAUUGAAAAUGAAUCUAAGUCAAUGACAUCAGUUGAAACCAGUUUGCUUUUGAACAUUUCUAUACAAUCAAUACUUGCUCUUGGUAAAUUUAAGGUUAGAGCUGAAAGGUUUGAAUAUUGUAAUAACCCGUGUUAAAGGUUUUCCACAUAUAUUAAUACUUUGACUGCCUUUCUUGACUCGAGUAUGGUUUUCUUGGCCAGAUUCCUCUCGGUUUGGUUUGUGGACGGGUUACCCAUGUUGUGUGGCCGCCUCACAGAGUAGGUGAAGUCGACAGAAAAAAACCGAAUGAAGAUUGUCCUGAAGAUUGUUUUAAGAUUCGCGAGAGCAGGUUCAUCUUUCAUAAGAAUGUACAUUAACAUUGAUCACAUUUGCACCAAGGAAACAUUAUAAAUGGUUAUAGCAACUCCAACUUCCUUUCAAGAUUUCAUCUUUUGAUUAUUAAUUUGUAUUCUAUUGUUUAUUUGUCAUAAUUUGUGUGUCCUUUAGCAUUGGAAAGCUGUUCUAUAAUCUUUAAGUAAGAUCGUUUUUGUUAAAA
rnacentral:lncRNA from 1 species